AUGCUUGCUUUACCAGCACAUAUACUAAAAUUGGAAUGAUUAAAGAGAUUAACCUGGCCCCUGCGCAAGGAUGACAUGCAAAUUUUGUAAAGUGUUUUAUGUGGAA
rnacentral:snRNA from 10 species